rnacentral:tRNA from 1 species
GCGUAGGUGUCUGAAUUCGUACAAGCGCUAGCUUCAGGUGUUAGUGUCCUUACGGACGUGGGGGUUCAAGUCCCCCCCCUCGCACCA